UUUGCUCAAACCCUAUCAUCGGUAAAACUCUCAUCGGUAAAGCUCUCAUCAGUAAAGCUCUUUUGCUCUCAUUUUACAUGUUUUCUUUUAGCUGCAUACAUAUACCUUACUUUUCCCCAAUUAACUAAGAUUUUUCUUUUUCAGAUUAGCAAGUCUUUUUUUGCAAAUAUGUUGUAUUCUUCCCUACUGUUGAAUUUAUUUAUUUAUUUUGUUUCUCUUAGGUGAUUAACAUGAGUAAUUGAUUGUUACUUAAAAAGAUAUUGAAAUUUGUUUACUUAUAUUUUGAAUCAUUUGGUUAAAUAAUAUGAACUGUGUAAAAUUAAGAGAGAUGUAUUUCUUACAUUGUUAUGCGAUUUUGUCUUAUUCCUCAACGUAUGAGCUGGUGUAUUUCUUUGCAUAUGUUAUUUGUUGUCACAAUGCGAAGGUAAAUUCCAUGAGUUAAAUAGUAACUGGAUAUGUUCUAUUUGCAGGAACUCUUUGUAAGAAUGGAAACUAUAACUUCUGGAGCAGAUGCAGAGGUGGUUGUCAAUAAUCCUUCGCCAGUGGCAGCUCAAAAACAAAGUGAAGACACUCCUCAUCGAUGCACUCCUCCUAAAAAGCAAAAAAGAAUGACUCCAUCAAAAAAAUCUAAAUCUGGAAAUAGUGGUAGAGAGAUGUCCGCGAUUUGGAAUCACAUCUCCAAAUUUAUUGCUAAAUGAGGUAAAUGUAAGGCAAAAUGCAAUUAUUGUCCUAAAACAUUUGUUGCAGGUAGCAAGAAUGGGACUACUACAUUAUGGUCGUAUUUAACUUCUACAUGUCACAAAUCUCCCUUUAGAGCCAUUGAUAAGAGACAAUCAACAUUAAAACCUAUCAAGGAAGGGUGGCUAGAAGGUGGUUCGGGUGUUACUGAAAGGGUAGUGUAUAAUGUGGAUGACAUUAGGAGGGCGAUUGCCGAAUUUGUAAUUCUUGAUGAGCAACCUUUUAGAGUUGUUGAAGGAGAAGGAUUUAAGAAAUUAAUGGCUAAAGCCUUACCUAAUUUCGAAUUACCUUCUCGUGUAACUGUUGCCAGACAUUGUUUGAGGAUUUAUCAUGAAGAGAAGGAAAAACUUAAAAAUCUUAUUAAGAACCAACGUGUAUGUCUCACUAGUGAUACAUGGACAUCACUACAAAACUUAACUUAUAUGGUUAUUACUGCAUAUUGGAUAGUUAUUUUUUACAUUAAUUAAUAUUUAAAUAUGUUAAUUAUUUAUUCUUUUUUUUUUCCAGAAUAUGUAGACUCACAUUUGAAGAUUGAUUAGAGGGAUGAUUAACUACAAUUUGCUUCAUGACUAUUUUUGAAAGUGAGGUCAUUAUGCCUUUACAAGUAUUUUAGAAACAUGCUCCUCUGGUUGUAAUAUCUACUAAGAUGCCCAACUUCUUAGAGUUUAAUAUAUUCUCUUUUUGUUUAUUUUUUAGGACUCUUGGG
rnacentral:lncRNA from 1 species